rnacentral:pre_miRNA from 1 species
GAUAUCAACUGAAAAAGUCAUCAACAACAAAGUUGAAUAACUCAUCAAGAUCUAAAACUUUUAUUUUGGUCAUUUCUUCAUACGACAAAGUGAUAGUAACAUUGUUCACAAAAUUGACAUAUCUCUUAUCUGGUUUUAUAAACUAUAACACAUAUAUGUAAAAUUUGUGAAUAAUAUUACUAACAUUUCGUCGGAUGAAGAAAUAACAAAAAUAAAAGUUUUAGAUCUUGAUGAGUUAUUCAACUUUGUUGUUGAUGAUUUUUUCAAUUAAAAUC